ACAACAGUGUGUUCACUGCCAAGCACAUGUCUGAUGAUUCCAUGUGGAAUUCAAUGACCCUGAGU
rnacentral:snoRNA from 1 species